UCCACUGUGGCACAGAUGUGCACAGACCGGCCGUUCGGUUAAAAAAUGGGCACCUCCGAAGAUUCCCCUCAAGGCAAAACAGAGGCGGCAAGUCGCAAAGCACGAAGCAGAAGCAGAAAAGCGAGGCUCUCCCUGACAGUCUACCUGAGAGGGGCGUUUCCAAGAGGUCUCUGAGCCAAAGACCAGCCAGCCAAGUUCUUGCUGCGCAGCAUCAGCCAGGACUGCAGGCACACACCUUCCAAUCAUACCACGGUCCUCCAGCUCUGCCCUUCCCACCUUUGUUUGCCCCGCUCCCUCCAAAUCAUCACUUCGAUCGCAAGCACCGAUGCCAAUCUCGUGCCAGGACUCUCGAGCGCCGUCGCAGAAGACCAAUUCAAACGCCGAGCAGAUGAAAGACAGGUGUCCGUCCGCAGCGCAGAAGGGGAAGGAGCGACUGAUCUCUUCAACAGCCUCCCUCGUGCCCAUCUGGUGUGUUUGCUGAUAGCCGUGCCCCAGCUGCCUGCCACUUGAAAAGGACGGCACGCUUGUGCCAGGGACUCCGGCUCCAUUCUGAGGCUAACUGAAGUCUGUCGGCUGGUG